rnacentral:rRNA from 1 species
GAUAAACGCUGGCGGCGUGCAUAACACAUGCAAGUCGAACGAAGUGGCGAACGGGUGAGUAAAACGUGUGUAACCGGGCUUACACAAGGGGAAAGAGUUGGGAAACGAAGAAUAAUACGCAAAAGUGUAAGAUGGACUUGCGUCUGAUUAGCUAUUUGGUGAGAUGAAGGCCCACCAAGGCAAUGAUCAGUAGCCGGCUUGAGAGAGUGUACGGCAACAUUGGUGCUGGGACACGGCCCAAACUCUACUGGCGGCAGCAGUGGGGAAUUUUGCACAAUGGGGGAAACCCGGAUGCAGCGACGCCGCAUAAUUUAGAAAGCGUUCAGGUUGUAAAAAUCUUUUUUAUGGAAUGCGGUACCAUAAGAAUAAGGUCCGGCUAAAUACGUGCCAGCAGCCGCGGUAAUUC